CGUGCGCGCUUUGAACGUCCCAGGGGCUGCGCGCCUCUCCAGGUCGAUGCCCCAAGCUGAAUGGUGCAGAGACCCAUCUCACUGGACCCCAGGACUAGAGUGCAAGAAUCCAAGGAUUUAGGAAACGAUUGCCCAAGCAAAGCGCCUCGUGGCAUGGAGGAAAGUGAGACGAAAGUUAGAGGCCAACCUUUUGAAUCUCCGCCUUAGGCGAGCAAAGGCGGAUCCAGAUUAAAGCAACAAGCCCCGAAGUAGUCGUAACUACGGAAUAGAGACAGGACAAGAGAAGAACGAUUGUUUUUCAAUCACUGAAACAUAAUUUGCAAUAGCAGGCUGACCAGCUCCAGCAGAGGCUGGCCCGGAUCCGGCACUUGCCGCCUGAUGUGGUGCCUCGAGCGGCUCUGCUGGGGUCCCGAGCGCCUCCUACGGGGCGGAAAUGGGUUUCUCCAGGGUCGACCCCGCAGAGCCAGGACCGUAACGCCCGCCGCGUGCGCAAACGUGCUCACCCCGGACCGCAUCCCCGAGUUCUGCAUCCCCCCGCGACUCGCGCCCUGCCCGGCCCUG